rnacentral:lncRNA from 1 species
GUUUUGGUUAUGCCAUGUACAUAUAGUGAUGGUUGUUUUAGUUUGUCCUGUGAGAGGCUGGUGGUUUUUAGAAAAUAAAUUUCAUAAUUUUUCGAAUUAUAUUAAAGCCCAUCAAGCAGGCAUAAAAUGAAUAGUCAAAAUUGAACAACCUCCUAAAAAUGAAUGAUUAGAUUCUUCAAUUUAAGAUUGAAGUUAUUGAUUUUUAUAUAGAUAGUGAAUAGAAUUUUCUAGCAAAAAUUCAACCAAUCUCUAUUCUUUUACACCAUUAAAUUAGCAAGUAUCUCAUAUCGACCGUUAAAAAUUGUCAAUUUUAAUACCUUUUGAUCGUAAGAUAAAUGAUAUUGAAAAAUUAUGAAAUUUGAUUUCUAGAAGUUUUGAAUACUCUAAAUCAUAUUUAAUAGUAUGAGUCAUCAAUUCGGAAGCUCUAUCAUCGAAAACGAUAUACGAAAACGAUCGUACUCAUAAGAGUAUAAUAACGGGACUCAAAAGAAUAGUAGGAUUAUUCAUU